rnacentral:rRNA from 1 species
GAUCCUGGCUCAGGAUGAACGCUAGCUACAGGCUUAACACAUGCAAGUCGAGGGGCAGCAUGGUCUUAGCUUGCUAAGACUGAUGGCGACCGGCGCACGGGUGAGUAACACGUAUCCAACCUGCCGUCUACUCUUGGACAGCCUUCUGAAAGGAAGAUUAAUACAAGAUGGCAUCAUGAGUCCGCAUGUUCACAUGAUUAAACGGUAUUCCGGUAGACGAUGGGGA